rnacentral:tRNA from 1 species
GAGGGUAUAGCUCAAUGAUAGAGCACGUGCUCAGCAAGCAUGAGGUCCUGGGUUCAAUCCCCAGAACCUGCA